CUAGAGUGUAACACGUAGUGAAAAAUCGAAUUCAAUUUAUUCUUCAUUUAGUUGCAUAAAAUUGUGGAAAAUAUUUGAAAAUAUUGUUAUAUUUCAUGUUAUGUUUCGUAUUAAAUAUAAGAAAAUAUGUAUUAAGUGAUGAAAGCUACUAAAGUCGAUAGAUGUGUGUAUAUGUGUUCAAAGAAAAUUUAUUCAAAGUAGAAUUUAAAACAUCAUAGACUUAUUAAGUUAACUUAAAGUUUCGUAUCGGGAAGAAGUUUUGAGAGUUUGUUGUACACGAAAACGCCAAAGCUUUCAAGAUAACAACAUGAUUUUCUCCUCGUAAAACCAAAAGGUA